CCGGCGACCGGCGCACAGGUGAGUAACACGUAUGCAACCUGCCCUCUUCAGGGGGACAAACCUUCCCGAAAAGGGAGGCUAAUCCCGCGUAUAUCGGUUUCGGGCAUCCGAGAUCGAGGAAAGAUUCAUCGGAAGAGGAUGGGCAUGCGGCGCAUUAGCUAGACGGCGGGGUAACGGGCCCACCGUGGCGACGAUGCGUAGGGGUUCUGAGAGGAAGGUCCCCCACACUGGUACUGAGACACGGACCAGACUCCUACGGAAGGCAGCAG
rnacentral:rRNA from 1 species